AUACCUUCUCGGCCUUUUGGCUAAGAUCAAGUGUAGUAUCUGUUCUUAUCAGCUUAAUAUCUGAUACAGCACACUUGUGUGCUGAGAUAUAUAUGUGAAUUUUUCACGGGGGUGGCGGGUAGCUCUGAGGCAACUCAGAGUCCGCCACACGUGUUGCCCUGGAGCUGCACUACUCCAGUGACGUGGCACACCCAUC